rnacentral:tRNA from 1 species
CAAGAACUAGUUUAAUGAAAAAUAGCUGUUUUGGGAAUAGCCGAUACAAAGUCCUAGUUUUGUGUUCUUGA